AUGCGCCGGGAAGGAAAAAGAAGGCAGUCCGGCGAGAAAUCCACGGCGAUCCGGAGAGCAAACGGCGGAGAAGGUGUCUGCGAGGUGGACAGCAACGAACAAUGCGCUACUUCACGGCGACUUAGGGUUUGGGUGUGUCUCUUCUGUCCCGGUUCAUCGAUUCCGGCUAAACUCGUCAACGGCUCAUGUACUGUAGAUUGGGCUUUUAUAGUUCCCCCUUGGGCCUGUUUCUACACCGCUGUAUCUUCGGUUCACAUCCGCGUUCAUUCUUCCAAAAAAAAGAAGAUCGGCGUUGAUUCGUCCGCCACAAGAUACUACUGUUUUCCCUAUGCGAACUAG
rnacentral:rRNA from 1 species